rnacentral:rRNA from 1 species
GAUUCCCCUAGUAACUGCGAGUGAAGCGGGAAAAGCUCAAAUUUAAAAUCUGGUAGUCUUUGGCUGCCCGAGUUGUAAUCUAGAGAAGCAUUAUCCGCGCUGGACUGUGUAUAAGUGUCCUGGAAUGGAUCAUCAUAGAGGGUGAGAAUCCCGUCUUUGACACAGACUCCCAGUGCUUUGUGAUGUGCUCUCAAAGAGUCGAGUUGUUUGGGAAUGCAGCUCUAAAUGGGUGGUAAAUUCCAUCUAAAGCUAAAUAUUGGCGAGAGACCGAUAGCGAACAAGUACCGUGAGGGAAAGAUGAAAAGAACUUUGGAAAGAGAGUUAAACAGUACGUGAAAUUGCUGAAAGGGAAACGCUUGAAGUCAGUCGCGUUGGCUGGGGAUCAACCUUGCUUUUGCUUGGCUUACUUCCCAGUUGACGGGUCAGCAUCAGUUUUGACCGGUGGAUAAAGGCUAGGGGAAUGUGGCACCUCCGGGUGUGUUAUAGCCCUUGGUCAU